rnacentral:misc_RNA from 1 species
UGACCACCUUAAUUCAAAGCUAUCCUAAGUCACAGUAUCGUGAUGAAGCAUACUUCCAGCGGGCGCAAUUUGAGAUCGAACAAGGCAAUACACAGGCUGCCGUUGAAGGAUUGUCGUUAUUGAUCACACAGCACCCCAGCUCGAAAUUUUUGCCCA